GAUGAACGCUGGCGGCGUGCCUAAUACAUGCAAGUCGAGCGAACAGACGAGGAGCUUGCUCCUCUGACGUUAGCGGCGGACGGGUGAGUAACACGUGGAUAACCUACCUAUAAGACUGGGAUAACUUCGGGAAACCGGAGCUAAUACCGGAUAAUAUAUUGAACCGCAUGGUUCAAUAGUGAAAGACGGUUUUGCUGUCACUUAUAGAUGGAUCCGCGCCGCAUUAGCUAGUUGGUAAGGUAACGGCUUACCAAGGCAACGAUGCGUAGCCGACCUGAGAGGGUGAUCGGCCACACUGGAACUGAGACACGGUCCAGACUCCUACGGGAGGCAGCAGUAGGGAAUCUUCCGCAAUGGGCGAAAGCCUGACGGAGCAACGCCGCGUGAGUGAUGAAGGUCUUCGGAUCGUAAAACUCUGCUAUUAGGGAAGAACAAAUGUGCAAGUAACUAUGCACGUCUUGACGGUACCUAAUCAGAAAGCCACGGCUAACUACGUG
rnacentral:rRNA from 1 species